rnacentral:rRNA from 1 species
UACGAAGGGGCUAGCGUUGUUCGGAUUUACUGGGCGUAAAGCGCACGUAGGCGGAUAUUUAAGUCAGGGGUGAAAUCCCAGAGCUCAACUCUGGAACUGCCUUUGAUACUGGGUAUCUUGAGUAUGGAAGAGGUGAGUGGAAUUCCGAGUGUAGAGGUGAAAUUCGUAGAUAUUCGGAGGAACACCAGUGGCGAAGGCGGCUCACUGGUCCAUUACUGACGCUGAGGUGCGAAAGCGUGGGAGCAAACAGG